UUUCCGCCAAACCUCCUCUGAAAUUUUAAAAGUGUGUACAUUUUCCGAAAUGUAAUCGGGAUGAUUAGGAUUCAUUUGUGCUUUGCUCAUCAAAGUUAUAUUUUGCAAGAGCCAUUUGAUGUCAAGUAAGUUUUUUUAGUCUUCUGCCUCCUCCCACCGCCAAGUCUUUUAUCUUAGAACCAGGAAGUCACAUUUUGCCAGCCGACUAUGAACUGUAACCACAAAAAGUUGGAGAUUGGUUCAAAGCUCAGGACUCAGGAGGCUUGAAUAUGUUUUAACCUCGGCAGAAGGAGUUCCUUACUCCUGCGGAGGGAACGUUCAUCCAUGGGGGCUGGUGGGGGCAGCUGUGUUAUUGGUGACAUGCUGGGGGAGUUGUUCUCACAGUCUGAGGGAUGUGUGAGCAGAGCACUUGCUCUGGGAGGUACUGUACGGGGCUGGAAGAGGAGUGAGUUUCAUUUUCCACUGAGAUCUUGUGGAAGGAAUCAGUCAGGAACCUCUCCCUCUUCCUUUACUCCCUCUCCCUGAGCUCAGAUAUAAAAAGAAGGGUCACCGUUGGUUCUCUUCCACCGAGAAAAGAAAAGCUAAGCCACACUGAGUGUUCACUACAAACGCUCAGAAUCUAGCGGGCUCUAAUGCAAGCCAGGUACUUCAUCUGAUGCUCAACCAAAGAGUCGUGAUGCUGUGAUGCUGGAGGAAAACCUAGCUGGGUUAGGCUUGCAGAAAAUGUCUUCCUGAAGAGUCUUCGAGGCUGGACCUUGGAUGUGUGGUGUGAGCCACCUCUAAUCAGAGGAUGACAGAGCCACACGGGAAAAGGAAGAAGGAAACAAGAGGCUUGGAUGAUUUCUUGGAGAGGAGCUAUCUACAACCUGGACCACGUGCCUGCCUCUGAAAUACCUCAAGAAAGAGAAAUAAACUCUUGUUUUGUUCGAGCUGCUAUGUUUUUGUUGCUGUUACUGCUUUGUUUGUUUCUUUGUUUUAGUAGUUUACUUUAUACCCCAAACAAUAACCUACGGGAUAUAAGAAAAGAUUAAGAGUUGACUUGGAUCCAGAUUACUGAAUUUUUGA